UAUCAAUCCAUUGAUUUUGGUGAUUAAUUUGAAGCCCACCAAUUUGAUCUUGUAGAAGAAUUGUGAAGAAAUCUGGAUCAGUAUGUUUUGUGAUUCCAAGAGUCUUAUUGGGCUCAGGACAAGGUGGAUAGUAAUGACAGAGAAUGAAAUGGCCCCUUGCACAGUCCAGGCCCAAUAAGUGAUUGGGCUUAAGCCCAAGUGCCUCUGCUAGUAACUCAAAUAUUGUAUGGCCCAACUUUCUAACAUGUUGAGAAUAUUGAAGUAAUUCCUCCCUGAUAAAAAACAAAAAAAAUAAAAAAGUUCGGUUUUAAUUUAUUUGUCUUAUUUUGACUUGACAUAAAAUUUAACAAAAUAAAUAAGACUUUUGAUUCUUGUGAUUUUAAAUUAAAAAAAAAUAUAAAACAUACAAAAAAUGUCAUGUAAUCUUACCGUGUUAAACUGUCAUGCAGAAAGUUGAAAUUAAUUUUUUUUUAAAUAAAUAAUAACCGGCAUUCUUUUAAGGCAGACUAAAAAAAAGGGAAACUUACAUAAAUAUACUAUAAUAAAAAAAUAUUUACCAUUUAUAGCAAUAAUAUAUUUUUUUUUCACUUAAUCAGUUUUAAUUCAUUUAUAAUACAAGUUUAACACAUAUUACAAACAACAAUUUAUUAUUCACAUAUAAUACAAGUUUUAAUGAUGGAUAAUACAUUUAUCACACAUUUUAAUACAUUUAUAAUACAAUGUGUCAAAUUUUUACCAAACAAAUAUAAUAUAUUUAAAAAAACAAUUCUAAUUCAUAUAUAUUGCAUACAUAAUUCACUUUUAAUUCAUAUUGCAUAUUUAACAUAAUAUUGCUAUAAAUGGUAAUAAAUAAAAAAUGUUACUAAAAUUAGUAAUUAUUUAUUAAAAUGUACCAAUUUAUGUAAUUUUUCCAAAAAAAAAUUCCAACCUCAACUCACCUUUUUUUUUUAAAAAAAAAUAAUUAAAAAAGAGGUACCACUAACUAAUUAAUUUUUUUAAAAAAAGGUACCACUAGCUAAUUAAUUUAGAAAAAGGUAUUUUUAGUGGCUUAGUUUAAAGUCUAGACUCUUCCCACUUCAAUUUGAGAACAAGUUCGAUAUUCGAUAGUUUAAUUUAUUUAAUUUUCAUAGUAAAAUUAAUAUUUUUAAAUUUAAUAUAUAAAUAUUUAAAAUUAUAUAAAAUAUUAUAUGUGUGGUAGAAAAUCCAUUGAUAUGGUCAUCUUCAAUCCUUUAAUUAGGAAUGAAUAUAGAACAAAUAAAUUAUAGAGAUUUUUGACUAGCUUCUUUAUGCCAUCAUAAAAUAUUAAUCAAAAUUCACAGAGUUAAAAUUUUAAAAAUUAAACAGUAUCACGUAAAUUAAAAGUGAGAAAUAAAUUAUAUUCUAAACAAUCAACAAAGAGGGUUUUAGCUAAAAAAAAAAUUACCUACACGCUUGUGGUAAUUCAUCAUUAGUAGGUGGAUUAGGAGCCAUAACACAAGCUAAACUAUCCCUCCAAUUAGUAGCUUUAGAUGAAUAAAGAUCAAAAUUACUAUUAAAUUUCACUUUCUUCAAAUUAUCCCUUGAAUAAAACUCCAUCUUUUUCUCACUUGAUUGUUCAUUAAAUUUUUUAACUCCACUAAUCAUCUCAUCCAUAACAUGUUGUGGCACACCAUGAUUCACAACUUGAAAAAAUCCCCAACUCUUACAUGCCUCACCUACCUCUUCAACAAUUCUCGUACGUCGAAAAUCGUCUUCAUUCAUACCCUUCAGAUCUAUAACUGGGAUCUGAACGUUAACUAUGUUUGAAUCUGAAUCAAGAUUCUCAGCACUGAACUCAUUUUCUAUUAAGGUCGGUGUGACAAAGAUCUCGGGAAUAUGAACUAUUCCUGAAUCGACUAGUCCUUUUACACCAGCCUUUGUGUCAUCGAAGGCCUUGAGAUCUUUUGCUCGAUCAUAGUUUGCCAUUUUUUAUUUUAUUUUUGGUAAGAAGAGAGUUAUAAAAUAUGUUAAAAGUUUUUGAUUAUUUUGUAGAUCUAUAAAUAGGAAUAGGAGAUAAGGGAGGACAAAAUGGACAAAGAACGUGUCUUAUUUAUUUCCACAUGCAAUUGAUUCGAAUUUAUUAGCUCAAUUGGCCGGCGGUUUGAAAGUAUUUCACUUUGUUGGUAAGGAUUUGAUUUCCCGCAUUGUAAUUUCACAAAAUUGUUAUAUCCUGUAUCAAAUUAGUUAUCUUAUUUCGCUUCUCAAAAAUCAAUUAGAUUACUUGUCGUAUUUUACUUUUUUUCGAAAAUCAAUUUAUUUGUUUUUUUGUAAUUAAAUUAAUUUAAUAUCUUAUAUUUAAAUUUAUAUAUUCGAAUUACUUUUCAUUAUAAUUUUUUUCAUGUCAAUUUAAUAUAAAUAUAUAGAUUUAAAAUAUCAAUCAAAAUUUAUUUCGUUUGACUCUCCGAAAAACUAAAAUAUCUCUUACUUUAUCUUGUUAAUUUAAAAUUGAAAUAUAAUAUAAGAGAGAACAUAAAAGACAAAUAUAUAACUAAUUUAUUUAGUCAUCAUAUUGACUUGGCACCUACUUUGGAAUCCGAUAAAGAGUAGUAUUUAAUUAAGGGGUCUUUUGAUUAAUGGGACAAAGAAUAAUAAUUUUGACAUAAAAUGUGAAUUGUUUGAUUAGAUCAAAAACUUUAUAUAUUAUAUUAUUAAAAUAAAAGCUUUGUUUAAAUAUUAUACACCUCUCAGUUUCUCUAGUGUAAAAUAUUUAUUCCCUUUCGAAUAUAUAUAUUCCUCCGUUCUCGGAUACAGUGAUGAAGCCAUAAUUUAUAAUAAAGGGAUUUAAAAUUUGAAAAGUAAACACACGAACUAGUGGAAGAGGACUCAACAUCUAUUAUAUAUACCUAAACAAAUAAUUUUAACCAUGUAUAAAUACUAUUAUAUAUACCUAAACAAAUAAUUUUAACCAUGUAUAAAUAGUAAAUAUUUUCCGUCGAGUGGGUUCAAAUGAACUCCAUAAGUAUAUGUUGCCUCCGCCCGUGCUCGGAUACUUUCCUAUCCCCUCAUGAAUAACCCUCCUGAUCACAGAGACGAAGUCAGGAUUAUGAGUUCUAAAUUUUAGAAUGCAACAGAAAAAUAUUAUUACAAUAGAGUUUGAACACACAAUACUAGUGUGAAAAAAGUAUUCUCACCGUUGUUCAUUACCAUUAAGCUAUCAAUCAAUUUUGUUAGAAGGUUUACAAGUUAAUAUACAUAUAUAUAUAUAUAUUCAUUUAAUUUUCUAAUAUAAAUAUAGAGUUUACGAAAAAGCUAAUGGGUUCGUCCGAGCCCAUGUACUCCUACCUAGCUCCGCCUCUACAGUUUUAUAUACAUCUCUCCCAUUAAAUAAUGUAUCAUUCACAAAAUUCAAAAAAUAUAUAUGAGAAUAAUAAAUAAUUUAAUAUUUUUAUAAUUAAAGAAACUUUUAAGAUAUGAUGUAAUUAUAAAUCGUGGAGAUUUCUCGAAGUUUGAUGAUGUGCAAGAGUAGUAGGGGAGUCAUAUAAGAAUCAUAAAUACUUUAGCAAAAUUCAAGACUUAGCCAAUUUAGCAAUUUCAACAUUCAUUUCAAAUCAUAGAGUACUAAAUCACGCAUUUUGAUCUUGUCCUGUACGAAUAUAAAAUUUUAUUUAAUAUGAUAUCUUAAAAAAAUAUUUUUUUAUUCUUAUUAUUUGUUCAUUUUUUUUAGUUGUCUAAAUUGCUAGUUCAUUUUGACAAAUCAAGAAAAAAUAAUUUUUUUACCUAUUAAACCUCAAUUAGUUAUAUUGAAAAUGAUAAAAUUUCUUGAAAAUCUUAAUUUUUUAAUUCAUUCUCUUCAUAAUUAAUAAGGAUAAAAUGAUAAAUUCGUUAUAUUAAUAAUUAUUUUCUUAGGUAUAUUAAUUUAAAAGUAGAUAAGUAGAUAUCGAUGUUCUUAAAAAUUGUUAUUAAGGUGCCAAAUAUAUUCUUACUUUAUUGCAUAAAAGAUAUCGAUCUUCUUAAAAAUUGCUAUUAAGAUGCCAAUUUUUCUUUGGUAAUUCCAUAAAGCUAUUUUGAAAAGCAAGUAAAAAUGUAGUUUAUGAAUCUUUAUUACUUGCCGAUUUGACAAAUCAAGAAAUGAUAAAGCAUUUGUUUUAUUUAAGAAUAUGUUAUGCUUUUGAUUAUUUUGUAGAUCUAAAAAAUCACAUAAAUACAUAACUUAAGAUAUUUAAAUUUCAUACCAUUUUUAAAAAAAUUACAAAAAUUCCUUCUUGAAUUUAUCUAUAUCUCUCUUCCGUACAUCCCUAUCCCCUCUCAGAUACAUCCCUUUCCUCUCAGAUACAUCCCUGUCCACCUCGAAUACAUCCCUCCCCUCUCAUACAUAUCUCUGUCCCCCUCAAAUAUAUCCGUAUUCCCUUAUGGAUACAUCCUUAUCUAUUCGCGGACACAUCUCCAUUCAGUAAUAUAUCAAUCGCAAUGUAUCAGACAAUUAAGGAAUGUAUCGAGAAUAAUGAAAAAUUCAAAAAAUUUACAAUUGGGGAAAACUUUAGAGAUAUGAUAUAAUUUGCCUCCAAAUAUGUGAAAUUUCUCUAAGUUUGGUGCAGGAGACGAGUAGUAAAGGAGUCAUAUAUAAGAAUCAUAAAUACUUUAGCAAAGUUCAAGCUUAGCCAAUUUAGCAAUUUCGACAUUCAUCUCAAAUCAUGGAAUACUAAAUAAUGCAGUAUUGUCCUGCACUGACAUAAAAUUUUAUUUAAUACAAUAUCUUAAAAACUUACAAGAUAACUUAAUCGAAGUUCGUCAUUUCUCAAAUCGUAUUCUAUUAUAACUCAUGCCCAAGCGAACCCUAAAAACUUGAAUCACACAUGGUAGCCUUGCAAGUGAAAUAAUAUACACUUUUCCAUCCUAGAUUUUUAAAUGAAGAAGUGAAGGAAGAGCACCAAGUCCUUUGGAGUUGUAAUAUAACACAUAAUCUUUUACUGUUGUUUCUUUGUAUAAAGCAUGAUUUUCAUCAGACAACAAUUCCUUUAUUGGGCCAUAAAGUGUAUCAAAUGGCAAAAGUUGAGUUGUGAAGAAACAUGCAAUUGAAAUCCUUGGCCCAAUAUGUUGUGCCAAUACUCUAUGCUCUGCACUUUUGAACUUGUCAUUUGAUAGAAGCUGCCAAAAAUGAGUUUAAGUUAUAUGUAUCGUUCGAUAUAAUUUUCUUAUACCAUCAAGUCACACAAGAGAUAUCCUUAUAAUGUAUACUAUUAUUCACGAUUUCUCGCAUAUAAUACGUCAAAUCAAACUCACUACUAACACUCUAGAUUCACCUCUGAUAAGUCCAUAUCACUAGUGAAUAGACAUAUGCAAUUUGUUUUCGAUAUACUUACCUAAAAAAAAAGACAGUGAAUCUAUAAUUCAUUUAUAAUAUGUAUGUAUAUCUAUGUAUAUCAACUUUAAAAAGUAAACAGUGAAUCUGUCCGAUUGGAUACACUUGCCUGCAUAAGGUCACCAAGGUUGACAACUAGAGCACCAUUCACAGGAUGAAUAUCAAUCCAUUGAUUUUGGUGAUUAAUUUGAAGCCCACCAAUUUGAUCUUGUAGAAGAAUUGUGAAGAAAUCUGGAUCAGUAUGUUUAGUGAUUCCAAGAGUCUUAUUGGGCUCAGGACAAGGUGGAUAAUAAUGACUAAUUAUGAAUUGGCCUUUUGCACAGUCCAUGUCCAAUAAGUGAUUGGGCCUAAGCCCAAGUUCUUCUGCUAGUAACUCAAAUAUUGUAAGGCCCAACUUUCUAACAUG
rnacentral:lncRNA from 1 species